rnacentral:rRNA from 1 species
UGCAGUCGAGCGGGCGUAGCAAUACGUCAGCGGCAGACGGGUGAGUAACGCGUGGGAACGUACCUUUUGGUUCGGAACAACACAGGGAAACUUGUGCUAAUACCGGAUAAGCCCUUACGGGGAAAGAUUUAUCGCCGAAAGAUCGGCCCGCGUCUGAUUAGCUAGUUGGGGGGGUAACGGCCCACCAAGGCGACGAUCAGUAGCUGGUCUGAGAGGAUGAUCAGCCACAUUGGGACUGAGACACGGCCCAAACUCCUACGGGAGGCAGCAGUGGGGAAUAUUGGACAAUGGGCGCAAGCCUGAUCCAGCCAUGCCGCGUGAGUGAUGAAGGCCCUAGGGUUGUAAAGCUCUUUUGUGCGGGAAGAUAAUGACGGUACCGCAAGAAUAAGCCCCGGCUAACUUCGUGCCAGCAGCCGCGGUAAUACGAAGGGGGCUAGCGUUGCUCGGAAUCACUGGGCGUAAAGGGUGCGUAGGCGGGUCUUUAAGUCAGGGGUGAAAUCCUGGAGCUCAACUCCAGAACUGCCUUUGAUACUGAGGAUCUUGAGUUCGGGAGAGGUGAGUGGAACUGCGAGUGUAGAGGUGAAAUUCGUAGAUAUUCGCAAGAACACCAGUGGCGAAGGCGGCUCACUGGCCCGAUACUGACGCUGAGG